rnacentral:rRNA from 1 species
CCGAGAUGAGUUCUCCCUGACCCUUUAAGGGUCCUGAAGGAACGUUGAAGACGACGACGUUGAUAGGCCGGGUGUGUAAGCGCAGCGAUGCGUUGAGCUAACCGGUACUAAUGAACCGUGAGGCUUAACCUU